ACAGCUAUAUCACAUUGAAACACUGGUUCAUGUAUGAUCACUGAAUUUAAGCAACCUCAAGCUUGUUCAGUCCCUAGAUGGGUGACCACUUGGGAAAACCAGGUGCUGUAGG